AUUUCUCAUUACUUAUAUUUAGUGUAGGGUUUUUAUUCAAAGUUAGUGCAGCUCCCUUUUCAUUUUUGAUCACCUAAAAAUAGGACUUGGGAAAUCCCUUAUCAACAAGCGUUGGGUGUAAACUAUCAAAUUCCGGGGAACCCCCUAAAGCUUCUGGGACUAAAACCAGGCACGAAAGUGCUUGAGUGGCUGAACUACUUACUCAGGUAUAGUAAUAAGCCAGAAGAUGAGUGAAAACGAAAUGGGCAAUCGCGGAUCUAAGUCAGUAAUACAUACGACCAAGCAGUCGAGUAUUAUUGUAAAAGAGCAACGAGUAAAUGGUAGUUGAUGUGGUAAAUUAAUACCACAUUUAAGAUGUACUCUACUGGGCUUCGAAAGAAGUUA
rnacentral:ncRNA from 1 species